GAGUCGGUUUGGUUUGCUUUACCCAAAAUUAAUUUUGAUUUUCUUUCGGUUUUCAGCAGAUGUAAUGAAGUCACACACAAUAUCUUUGAUAGUUUUUUUUUUUUUUGGGACUAAUUUCAUAGAUAGGUUUAGUUCUCCUUUUUGAAGAUUCAUAUUACGAGUUAAGCGGUUCUCUUUUGCGUAUUCAAAAGAUGAUGACGACUUUAAAACCAAGAUCACUCGCCG
rnacentral:lncRNA from 1 species